AGCGAACGCUGGCGGCAGGCCUAACACAUGCAAGUCGAACGAAGCCUUCGGGCUUAGUGGCGGACGGGCGAGUAACAAGUGGGAACGUACACUUUGGUUCGGAACAACUCAGGGAAACUUGAGCUAAUACCGGAUGAGCCCUUAGGGGGAAAGAUUUAUCGCAGAAAGAGCGGCCGGCGUUGCAUUAGCUAAUUGGUGAGGUAAAGGCUCACCAAGGCUACGAUCUAUAGCUGGUCUGAGAGGAUGAUCAGCCACACUGGGACUGAGACACGGCCCAGACUCCUACGGGAGGCAGCAGUGGGGAAUCUUGCGCAAUGGGCGAAAGCCUGACGCAGCCAUGCCGCGUGAAUGAUGAAGGUCUUAGGAUUGUAAAAUUCUUUUACCAGGGACGAUAAUGACGGUACCUGGAGAAAAAGCCCCGGCUAACUUCGUGCCAGCCGCCGCGGUAAAAC
rnacentral:rRNA from 1 species